UAGGGANNCUUCGGCAAUGGACGGAAGUCUGACCGAGCAACGCCGCGUGAGUGAAGAAGGUUUUCGGAUCGUAAAGCUCUGUUGUAAGAGAAGAACGAGUGUGAGAGUGGAAAGUUCACACUGUGACGGUAUCUUACCAGAAAGGGACGGCUAACUACGUGCCAGCAGCCGCGGUAAUACGUAGGUCCCGAGCGUUGUCCGGAUUUAUUGGGCGUAAAGCGAGCGCAGGCGGUUAGAUAAGUCUGAAGUUAAAGGCUGUGGUUUAACCAUAGUACGCUUUGGAAACUGUUUAACUUGAGUGCAGAAGGGGAGAGUGGAAUUCCAUGUGUAGCGGUGAAAUGCGUAGAUAUAUGGAGGAACACCGGUGGCGAAAGCGGCUCUCUGGUCUGUAACUGACGCUGAGGCUCGAAAGCGUGGGGAGCAAACAGGAUUAGAUACCCUGGUAGUCCACGCCGUANCGAUGAGUGCUAGGUGUUGGGUCCUUUCCGGGACUCAGUGCCGCAGCUNACGCAUUAAGCACUCCGCCUGGGGAGUACGACCGCNAGGNUG
rnacentral:rRNA from 1 species